AGUGAACGCUGGCGGCGUGCCUAAUACAUGCAAGUCGAACGGAGUGGCGCACGGGUGGGUAAUGUAUAGCUAAUCUGCCCUACACUAGAGGAAAACAGUUGGAAACGGCUGCUAAUACUCUAUAGUGUAGGAUGAGGCUAUAUUGUAUCAGCUAGUUGGUGAGGUAAUGGCUCACCAAGGCUGUGACGCAUAACUGGUCUGAGAGGAUGAGCAGUCACACUGGAACUGAGACACGGUCCAGACUCCGACGGGAGGAAGCAGUAGUGGAUAUUGCUCAAUGGGGGAAACCCUGAAGCAGCAACGCCGCGUGGAGGAUGACAAUUUGCGGGGCGUAAACUCCUUUUGUUAGGGAAGCGGUACCUAACGAAUAAGCACCGGCUAACUCCGUGCCAGCCGCCGCGGUAAUAC
rnacentral:rRNA from 1 species